AAGGCAACUGGGCUGCUGUUCCUGGUCUCUCCUCGGUGAGCCUUCCCAAGUCUCCUUGCUCUGGACUCUCCUGCAGCAGCAGCCACCUCCAAGAUGGCACCUUCAGACUACCUGCAGGCAGUCCUGGGAUCUGAAGGGCUCUCCACACACAAGUGCACUAACCUGUGUAACCAGUAGGCUGUAGGAACACCAAACGGAGCUUGUCUUCCAGUGAGGAAACGGAUAUGUUCAAGCUAGAUCAACUGAUCCUGAAUAAACACACUUGGGAUUGGCCACAGAUGCCACACUGUCACCAAGGGAGCACGCUAACCUUGAGAGACUGGAGCCUCCCACCCCGCUGUUUCCAGAACCCCAAGCCAGGCGU
rnacentral:lncRNA from 1 species